GAUGAGCGCUGGCGGCGUGCCUAAUACAUGCAAGUCGAGCGAACGGACGAGAAGCUUGCUUUUCUGAUGUUAGCGGCGGACGGGUGAGUAACACGUGGAUAACCUACCUAUAAGACUGGGAUAACUUCGGGAAACCGGAGCUAAUACCGGAUAAUAUUUUGAACCGCAUGGUUCAAAAGUGUAAGACGGUCUUGCUGUCACUUAUAGAUGGAUCCGCGCUGCAUUAGCUAGUUGGUAAGGUAACGGCUUACCAAGGCAACGAUGCAUAGCCGACCUGAGAGGGUGAUCGGCCACACUGAAACUGAGACACGGUCCAGACUCCUACGGGAGGCAGCAGUAGGGAAUCUUCCGCAAUGGGCGAAAGCCUGACGGAGCAACGCCGCGUGAGUGAUGAAGGUCUUCGGAUCGUAAAACUCUGUUAUUAGGGAAGAACAUAUGUGUAAGUAACUGUGCACAUCUUGACGGUACCUAAUCAGAAAGCCACGGCUAACUACGUG
rnacentral:rRNA from 1 species